UGGGGAAUCUUGCACAAUGGGCGAAAGCCUGAUGCAGCGACGCCGUGUGAGGGAUGAAGGCCUUCGGGUUGUAAACCUCUUUCAGGAGGGACGAAGCGAAAGUGACGGUACCUCCAGAAGAAGCCCCGGCUAACUACGUGCCAGCAGCCGCGGUAAUACGUAGGGGGCGAGCGUUGUCCGGAUUUAUUGGGCGUAAAGAGCGCGUAGGUGGUUCGUAAAGUCGGGUGUGAAAGCCCGGGGCUCAACCCCGGGAUGCCAUUCGAUACUUGCGGACUGGAGCACGGCAGGGGGAUCUGGAAUUCCUGGUGUAGCGGUGAAAUGCGCAGAUAUCAGGAGGAACACCGGUGGCGAAGGCGGGAUCCUGGGCCGUUGCUGACACUGAGGCGCGAAAGCUGGGGGAGCGAACAGG
rnacentral:rRNA from 1 species